GAUCUGCUCCUCCGUGGUCCUUUCCUGCCCCAGGGCCACUCCAGUUCACCUGCAGCCUUCUGGCCUCUGCUCUCAGGGCCUCUGUCCCAGGACUGACCGCAGUCUUUUCUUCCCUUGUCAACAUUUCCUGGGCUUUUUAGAAGUUUGUCUAUUCUCUACAAUACAACACUGGCAGAUGUGAUGGUGGUCAGCAUGCUGGUGGGCAGUCACUUGGGGACUCCCAGGAGCCAUGCUGAUUCUCCUGAGUCUCGCAUUCGGGGUUACAGAACUGUCGAGCACCGGAGGAAGUCCAUUCAUUACGUUUUGAUUACUGAGACCCUCAAAUUCCCAUAUGAAUUGUAGCAGCAGCUAGUCAGUUACUGCAGAGGAGCCCGCUGGGAUUGUGAUCGAGACCACGUUGAGCAUACGGAUCGCUCUGGGGAGCACUGCCAUCCCAAGAGCGCUGUCAUCUGAUCCAGGAAUCUGUGUGGUAUGUCUGUCCAAAGUUCUAUGUAUAGUUGGUUACAUUCUAUACCUGGAAAUUUCUC